UAUUCAUUUUCUUGAAAUUUAUCAAGUUGGUUUUUACUUGAAAAAAUUGAUAUCAAGUAAUGAUAGUGUAUUGGUGUAAAUGGCAACAAAGAUGAAGGAGAAAUUUUAAAAAUAUUGGGUGAUCCAACAAAAAUGAACAAGAUGCUUUUUAUACCCUGUGUUUUGGUUCCUCGCCAUAAAUUUGCCACUCUUGGUUUUGCACUUAAGAAGAUGUUUGCUGACUAUAGAAAAAGAUAUAUGAGAGUACAUAAAAUCAUUAUUUGAUGAGUAUUUAAAGUCUGCUUCAAAAGAUAGAGGUGGUAAUCUAUCUUCAACAGAAGUGGGGGCUUCUAGCUCAAGCUCUAUGGUUGUGGAAGAUAUUGAUGACUUUUAUGAGGAAUUAAGUAGACACGCAUCUGGAAGUGGAGCCUAAAACUAUAAGUCGAAAUUGGAUAAGUAUCUUGCAUAAGAUAUUGAAUUUGGAAAGUCUAUAUUAGUGUAUUGCUUUGGUGCAAAUAUAACUCUUCUUGAUUUCCCCUUCUUUCUGAGAUGGCUCGAGAUAUUUUAGUUGUUCCUAAUUCAAGUGUAGUAUUAGAAUGUGCUUUUAUUACCAGGGGAUGCAUUUUUGAUUCAUUUUCAUUAACUCAUAAAUUGGUAGAAGCUUUAGCGUGUCUACAAGAUUGGCUUCAAAGUGUAUCACAACCUAUAAGUGUCAAGGAGGAUUUAGAUUCUCUCGAGCAACUUGAACGAGAUUUGGCCAAACUUGGAAAAGAACUUAGCAUUGAUGACAUGUAAUAUUGUAGAUGGUUAAGAGAUUAAAACUUUGGUUUUAAUAUGUCUCCACAUUGUAGACCUAAAGCUCGAUCACAAAUUUGGAGUCACUAUGAAAUGCUUGAAGCAGGUGAUGAUUGAGAGUGCAAAGAAAACUUUGUUCAUUAUGGUAAUGUUCAUAAUUACAAUAAGUCGACAACUGGGUCUGACUGCUUAGUGAAAUAUGUCGUUUGGAGAGGGUGUUCGUCAUCUUGUGAAAAUUGAGUAGUUAUUAGUACUAUGUUUAGAAUUUGAACUUAAUUUUCAAAUUGCUAGACAGUCUGAAUUUUUUGUUUGUGCUAGACAAUUUUGAAUUGCAACUGGUUGACAUUAAUGUUUUGGCUGCAAAGUGCAGACUAUUGCAGCCAUGUACUCGCUUAUGUGCUUUUUAUUUACGAAGACACUACUUUUUGGUG